rnacentral:rRNA from 1 species
GAUGAACGCUGGCGGCGUGCCUAAUACAUGCAAGUCGAGCGAACAGACGAGGAGCUUGCUCCUCUGACGUUAGCGGCGGACGGGUGAGUAACACGUGGAUAACCUACCUAUAAGACUGGGAUAACUUCGGGAAACCGGUGCUAAUACCGGAUAAUAUAUUGAACCGCAUGGUUCAAUAGUGAAAGACGGUUUUGCUGUCACUUAUAGAUGGAUCCGCUCCGCAUUAGCUAGUUGGUAAGGUAACGGCUUACCAAGGCAACGAUGCGUAGCCGACCUGAGAGGGUGAUCGGCCACACUGGAACUGAGACACGGUCCAGACUCCUACGGGAGGCAGCAGUAGGGAAUCUUCCGCAAUGGGCGAAAGCUUGACGGAGCAACGCCGCGUGAGUGAUGAAGGUCUUCGGAUCGUAAAACUCUGUUAGUAGGGAAGAACAAAUGUGUAAGUAACUAUGCACGUCUUGACGGUACCUAAUCAGAAAGCCACGGCUAACUACGUG